rnacentral:lncRNA from 7 species
AUUAGACCGCCACAUGUCAGUUUCCUCAGCUGAUUAUUGAAGCGAAGAGAGCUAGUGACAUUUUGUGCAGGCACGCGUACUUGGAAUGGACACACAGAUCGAACGACUAUUCAUUGGAUUAGGCGAACCACGUCUCACGCCUGCCUGUACUAGACCAUCGCAAGCCCCCGGCGGCGGCGGAUAGGGUUCGGAGUGGCAACCGUACGCGGCGGGGCAACGGACGGGUGAUGCCGCGACGGCGAUGGGGAUCGAUC